UACGUAGGGUGCAAGCGUUGUCCGGAAUUAUUGGGCGUAAAGAGCUCGUAGGCGGUUUGUUGCGUCGGCUGUGAAAUCCCGAGGCUCAACCUCGGGUCUGCAGUCGAUACGAGCAAACUAGAGUGCUUGCAGGGGAGACUGGAAUUCCUGGUGUAGCGGUGAAAUGCGCAGAUAUUAGGAGGAACACCGGUGGCGAAGGCGCCACUCUCGGGCCGAAACUGACGCUGAGGAGCGAAAGCAUGGGUAGCCA
rnacentral:rRNA from 1 species